rnacentral:rRNA from 1 species
UACGUAGGUGGCAAGCGUUGUCCGGAUUUACUGGGUGUAAAGGGCGUGUAGCCGGGCUGACAAGUCAGAUGUGAAAUCCGGGGGCUCAACCCCCGAACUGCAUUUGAAACUGUUGGUCUUGAGUAUCGGAGAGGCAGGCGGAAUUCCUAGUGUAGCGGUGAAAUGCGUAGAUAUUAGGAGGAACACCAGUGGCGAAGGCGGCCUGCUGGACGACAACUGACGAUGAGGCGCGAAAGCGUGGGGAGCAAACAGG